rnacentral:rRNA from 1 species
UUGUAAUUUGAAGAAGGCGACUUUGUAGCUGGUCCUNGUCUAUGUUCCUUGGAACAGGACGUCAUAGAGGGUGAGAAUCCCGUGUGGCGAGGAUCCCAGUUAUUUGUAAAGUGCUUUCGACGAGUCGAGUUGUUUGGGAAUGCAGCUCUAAGUGGGUGGUAAAUUCCAUCUAAAGCUAAAUAUUGGCGAGAGACCGAUAGCGAACAAGUACAGUGAUGGAAAGAUGAAAAGAACUUUGAAAAGAGAGUGAAAAAGUACGUGAAAUUGUUGAAAGGGAAGGGCAUUUGAUCAGACAUGGCGUUUGCUUCGGCUUUCGCUGGGCCAGCAUCAGUUUUAGCGGUUGGAUAAAUCCUCGGGAAUGUGGCUCUGCUUCGGUAGAGUGUUAUAGCCCGUGGGAAUACAGCCAGCUGGGACUGAGGAUUGCGACUUUUGUCAAGGAUGC